GAUGAACGCUGGCGGCGUGCUUAACACAUGCAAGUCGAACGAAGUGGCGAACGGGUGAGUAACGCGUAAUCAACCUGCCCUUCAGGGGGGGACAACAGUUGGAAACGACUGCUAUUCCCCCAUACUGAAGGAGGGGUUUGCGUCUGAUUAGCUAGUUGGAGGGGUAAUGGCCCACCAAGGCGAUGGACAGUCGCCGGGCUUAGAGGAUGGACGGCCACAUUGGGACUGGGACACGGCCCAAACUCCUACGGGAGGCAGCAGUGGGGAAUCUUCCGCCAUGGACGAAAAGCUGACGGAGCAACGGCGCGGGAGUGAUGACGGCCUUCGGGUUGGAAAGCUCUGUUAAGCGGGACGCGGUACCGGAAGAGGAAGCCACGGCUAACUACGUGCCAGCAGCCGCGGUAAUAC
rnacentral:rRNA from 1 species